rnacentral:rRNA from 1 species
GAUGAACGCUGGCGGCGUGCCUAAUACAUGCAAGUCGAGCGAACGGACGAGAAGCUUGCUUCUCUGAUGUUAGCGGCGGACGGGUGAGUAGCACGUGGAUAACCUACCUAUAAGACUGGGAUAACUUCGGGAAACCGGAGCUAAUACCGGAUAAUAUUUUGAACCGCAUGGUUCAAAAGUGAAAGACGGUCUUGCUGUCACUUAUAGAUGGAUCCGCGCUGCAUUAGCUAGUUGGUAAGGUAACGGCUUACCAAGGCAACGAUGCAUAGCCGACCUGAGAGGGUGAUCGGCCACACUGGAACUGAGACACGGUCCUGACUCCUACGGGAGGCAGCAGUAGGGAAUCUUCCGCAAUGGGCGAAAGCCUGACGGAGCAACGCCGCGUGAGUGAUGAAGGUCUUCGGAUCGUAAAACUCUGUUAUUAGGGAAGAACAUAUGUGUAAGUAACUGUGCACAUCUUGACGGUACCUAAUCAGAAAGCCACGGCUAACUACGUGCCAGCAGCCGCGGUAAUACGUAGGUGGCAAGCGUUAUCCGGAAUUAUUGGGCGUAAAGCGCGCGUAGGCGGUUUUUUAAGUCUGAUGUGAAAGCCCACGGCUCAACCGUGGAGGGUCAUUGGAAACUGGAAAACUUGAGUGCAGAAGAGGAAAGUGGAAUUCCAUGUGUAGCGGUGAAAUGCGCAGAGAUAUGGAGGAACACCAGUGGCGAAGGCGACUUUCUGGUCUGUAACUGACGCUGAUGUGCGAAAGCGUGGGGAUCAAACAGGAUUAGAUACCCUGGUAGUCCACGCCGUAAACGAUGAGUGCUAAGUGUUAGGGGGUUUCCGCCCCUUAGUGCUGCAGCUAACGCAUUAAGCACUCCGCCUGGGGAGUACGACCGCAAGGUUGAAACUCAAAGGAAUUGACGGGGACCCGCACAAGCGGUGGAGCAUGUGGUUUAAUUCGAAGCAACGCGAAGAACCUUACCAAAUCUUGACAUCCUUUGACAACUCUAGAGAUAGAGCCUUCCCCUUCGGGGGACAAAGUGACAGGUGGUGCAUGGUUGUCGUCAGCUCGUGUCGUGAGAUGUUGGGUUAAGUCCCGCAACGAGCGCAACCCUUAAGCUUAGUUGCCAUCAUUAAGUUGGGCACUCUAAGUUGACUGCCGGUGACAAACCGGAGGAAGGUGGGGAUGACGUCAAAUCAUCAUGCCCCUUAUGAUUUGGGCUACACACGUGCUACAAUGGACAAUACAAAGGGCAGCGAAACCGCGAGGUCAAGCAAAUCCCAUAAAGUUGUUCUCAGUUCGGAUUGUAGUCUGCAACUCGACUACAUGAAGCUGGAAUCGCUAGUAAUCGUAGAUCAGCAUGCUACGGUGAAUACGUUCCCGGGUCU